UUCGACUGAGGCCAAAAUCACGAGGUCGUUACCACAAAUUUUACAACGACACGAGACUAAUUAAGGCGAUGGAGGCAGUUGCCCAGGGUAUGUCCCUCAGAAGUGCUGAGACAGCCUUCAACAUCCCCAGGACAACCCUCCAGAGAUACAUCAAGCGAGGACUGCCCCACAAAUUUUUCACCCCUCAACCGUUUUGACUCGAGUGUCGGUGGCUUCGUCGGGCGGCCGAGGGUCACGUACACCUGCAGGAAUUGUGGGAAGAUCUACAACUACUACUCGAGCUUGGCGAGACACCUGAAGCACGAGUGUGGGGUGGAGCCGAAAUUCCAGUGUCCGUUGUGUCCGUAUCGGACGAAACAUAAGUCGAGUUUGAAUACACAUUUGAAUGGGAGACACAUGAGAACGAUAAAUGAUUUUUGUGUUGUGUCUAAUGGUCAGAGGAAGGAUCAUAAAUCAUGGGAGUGAAGGCUGCCAACAUGAUCCGGUCAGCCGGUGGCCGGCAUUUAGAUGUUCACGAUGCGGCAGAUCUUACAAAAUCCAGACGUCACUGCGCCGUCAUUUGAUGAUCGAGUGUGGAAAACCACCGCAGCACAAAUGCCCUUAUUGUCCCCAUUACAGCAAGUACAGAUCAAGCAUAACAAAGCACAUAUUACACAUUCACGGUGGGCCCCCACGUCCCUAAGGCCCCACUCACUGUACGAAGAUCUGAAUAAAUUUUCCGUCAGUGAAUAGUUAAAAACUAUGAAACUAGGUUUCGUUCAUCCCACGUUUCUGAGGCGCUCGGGGACUCACAGGAGGAUGAGGGGACAGGGGAGGCAUUACUGCCAGAGCUGCGGUCGUCGUUAUCACGCGGAGAAGAAUCUGAGGAGACACGUGGAGAAGGAAUGCGGAAAAGAACCGACAUUUCAAUGCUCCUAUUGUCCUUAUCGAUCGACGUACAAGUCCUACCUCGAGGUCCACAUGUCGAAGCACAAACGACAGGGCUUCAAUCCAAGACCGAGUUGCAUAAAUCCGUACGAUUUUGCCCCGUGAAAAUGUCACCCAGAAGAGAAUAGAUAAUAAAUACCUUCGAGUUCUAGUCUCUAAUGAUUCGCUGUGUGAUUUUUUGGUUGAAUUUGCAAUAUUUUCGGACGAAUUAAACUAUUCACAAUUAAUGAAUAUACAUUUGUGUGACUACGACCCGACCCUCGUUCCUCAUAAACCAUUAAUCACCCUCUGGCACCUAAUUAGCAAGUAAAAUAACCCGUAAGUCGCCCUAAAUCAUCAUCUGACGUGCCCUUUG